rnacentral:lncRNA from 1 species
CCACCGAGGACUCGCCCAGGGCUCGCCCACGCCAUCGGGACCGCGCCCCUCCCCUCCCGCCCGCUUGCCGCCUUUCUCAGCCAGGACAGCGAGCACUUCCAGAGGGCACUGCAGGUUUUGUAGCACAGGACAGAGACUUAACCCAGCUGAAUCCCAGUGGGAAAUGAAGCCCUUACUCUGGAGGCGCACCUUUAGCUAAGGGCUCUACUGUGAUGAUUUCACUGCUGUUGCCUCUUCCGGCUGAAGUCACGGCCACCACCCAGACGCUGUACUGGCGAUUUCGACUCAGGUUAGGUAUUCUGUAGGAAAAUGAGUCGGGGGAGGCUUCAAACUCGCUGAUCACCUGUGAGAGGAGACACAAAUGUUCCCACAUUCAAAGAAGCAAGUGACACAAAAGGAUUCCUAAAAGGUCGAUUAACAGAUUACUGAUCACAAUGACAAAGCCCACACCAUCGGGCCCUCCAAAGGCUGGAUUUGCAAUCUGGGAGGGGACAGUAAGCUCAGGUGACCCCUGGAUCAGCUUUAAGAGCCAUGGGUGAGUAAUUUACCUUUACACCAGGGGACACAGAGCUUCUGCUGUUGGCCAAGAUGAAAUAACAAGAGUUAGAUGAUCACUUCCACCCAGAGCAACCAAAGAGCACACAGAGGAUAUGAAAAGGGGUCCUGCAUUUUUAAGAGGGUUUUAAAGCCAUGGCACAUGGAGGGGACCCAAAAGGGUCCUAGCAGUCUCAAGUUAAGAAGAAGACAGAGCUGAGGAGAGGAGGUGGGAAUUCACAGGGAGAGUACUGGAAAUGAGCGUUAUACAGAGAGAACUCCAGAAAUCUGAAGAGGGUUCUACUUGGGCAUUCAGCUGAGCGGAUCCUGGCCUGCACUCGUGGAAACAUCCUGAAGCCCAGGAAAGAACCACCUGAAAGUAUUGGCAGUCGCACUGCUCAGCACUGACACAGGGCUGGGAAUAGUGCCUGUUCCUACCAGCCACAUUCAACAACAUCAACAUUCACCGUGGACUGGGACAGUGCAUGAGGUUCUUACCUCAAAGGGAAGAAUAAUUAGCUCAAGAUCGAGCCCUACGUUAGUCUUGCUUAACAGAUUCUAAAAUCAAAAUUCAGAAAGAACAGAUAACAUUAAGCAAUUUAACUGCAUCCUUGAAUGAGGGCC